CCUACGGGUGGCAGCAGUGAGGAAUAUUGGUCAAUGGGCGUAAGCCUGAACCAGCCAAGUCGCGUGAGGGAUGAAGGUUCUAUGGAUCGUAAACCUCUUUUAUAAGGGAAUAAAGUGUGGGACGUGUCCUAUUUUGUAUGUACCUUAUGUAUAAGGAUCGGCUAACUCCGUGCCAGCAGCCGAGGUACUACGGAGGAUACGAGCGUUAUCCGGAUUUAUUGGGUUUAAAGGGUGCGUAGGCGGCCUUUUAAGUCAGCGGUGCAAGUCUGUGGCUCAACCAUAGAAUUGCAGUUGAAACUGGGAGACUUGAGUAUGUUUGAGGCAGGCGGAAUGCGUGGUGUAGCGGUGAAAUGCUUAGAUAUCAGGCGGAACCCCGAUUGCGAAGGCAGC
rnacentral:rRNA from 1 species